CCUACGGGUGGCUGCAGUAGGGAAUAUUGCUCAAUGGGGGAAACUCUGAAGCAGCAACGCCGCGUGGAGGAUGAAGGUUUUCUGAUUGUAAACUCCUUUUGUUAGAGAAGAUAAUCUCGGUAUCUAACUUCUACUCACCGGCUAACUCCGUGCCAGCAGCCGCGGUAAUACGGAGGGUGCAAGCGUUACUCGGAAUCACUGGGCGUAAAGCGCGCGUAGGCGGGAUAGCAAGUCAGAUGUGAAAUCCUAUGGCUUAACCAUAGAACUGCAUUUGAGACUGUUAUUCUAGAGUAUGGGAGAGGUAGGUGGAAUGCUUGGUGUAGCGGUAAAAUGCGUAGAGAUCAAAAAGAAUACUCAUUGCGAAGGCGGCCUGCUAGAACAUAACUGACGCUGAUGCGCGAAAGCGUGGGGAGCAAACAGGAUUAGAUACCCCUGUAGUC
rnacentral:rRNA from 1 species